rnacentral:rRNA from 1 species
AACGAACGCUGGCGGCAUGCCUAACACAUGCAAGUCGAACGAGACCUUCGGGUCUAGUGGCGCACGGGUGCGUAACGCGUGGGAAUCUGCCCUAGGGUGCGGAAUAACUCGGAGAAAUCCGUGCUAAUACCGCAUAAUGUCUUCGGACCAAAGAUUUAUUGCCCUGGGAUGAGCCCGCGUAGGAUUAGCUAGUUGGUGGGGUAAAGCCUACCAAGGCGACGAUCCUUAGCUGGUCUGAGAGGAUGAUCAGCCACACUGGGACUGAGACAACGGCCCAGACUCCUACGGGAGGCAGCAGUGGGGAAUAUUGGACAAUGGGCGAAAGCCUGAUCCAGCAAUGCCGCGUGAGUGAUGAAGGCCCUAGGGUUGUAAAGCUCUUUUACCCGGGAUGAAAUUGACGGUACCUGCAGAAGAAGCCCCGGCUAAC